rnacentral:lncRNA from 1 species
GAACUCGGAACCUUGCGCUUUCGUAGCAGGCUGCGGAACCACUGAGCUAAAUCCCCGGGCCUUUCCCCCAUUUUUUGCUGCUGAGGAGCCAGAGACUUAGAAGAAGCAAAUGAUUUGCUCAAGGUCGUGACUGUGGUGUGGAGCAAGUAAGUUACCAUCUGUGAAGUGCUAAGAAUACUGAGGAGCCCAAUAUGCGGAUCAUAGACUUUGGCGAAGACUUUGGAUUCUGCUUUUUAUGAGAAUUGAAGUCUUUGGAGGGAUUUGAAUAAAGAAACCACAUUUUUCAGAAUUAAAAUUUAAAACACUUUGAGAACAAAUUGGAGGGCUCUGGUGCCAUCCAUAUACGAGUGACUGUGAGAAACUCACACUCUGCGGAGAAACAUUCAUUUUUCUCGACUGUUUUUCUACCGCAAAUAAACGUCUGGCAGAAACCCCGUGGACCAGGAAUCCCACCCGCGCACUCAGAAAGUGACAGAGAC